AUGCUAUGUGGUGACAAUGGGAAGAAUAAAUUCAUGUCGUUGUCCAAAAUUGCAGACCCUCGCCACACAAAGUUAGGAUAUGGAUGGGACGAAUUCUGGAAGUCCAAUAACUUCAAAGCCGAAGAUAGACUUCGAUUUAGGUUUGAUGUUACUUCUUUGGACAAAACAUGCUAUGUAUAUUUAUUUCCGUAA